CUCUGAGGCAUCAUAGGUAGUGUUGACUGCCAGGCUGCCUAGUCGUUGGUAUACAGGUUAACUCACAGGCAUCCAGUUGGUUUUAGAUACCUGUAAGGCAUCUAGACGGACAUUAAGAGGGGCUGACUCCCAGGCUGCUUCCUAACACUGGUUAGCUCUCAGGCAGCCAAUUAGCUUUGGAUGCCUGUGAGGCACUUGACGUUGAGACUGGUUGACUGUAGACUGAUAUCCCUUAGUUAAAUUGUCCUCAUGCCUCCUCAUACAGAUAGGCCUAUUGAAUAAAUCUGCCAGAUUAUUUAUAACAUUGCAUAUGCCUAACAUUAUGUGAUAAUACUAAUCACACUCAUAUUGCCUUUCUCUUUCAGUUCAUGAAGAAAUGGCGCCCAGGAAGGGUAAGGUUCAACCUAGACCUACUUUAAUGACUAAAAAAAAGUCUCUUUCACACACUGACAUUUAACAAUGACUUCAAUAAUUCCCCAAAAAAUACUUAUUAGUUCCUUGCAAUGUCUUUAUACAGUAGGAUGGAAGCGGAAGGCCCUGCAGGUGUCAAAAGGUGGACCAUCUGCAAAGAUCGCAAUUUUCCACCAGUCACCACUGGUUGGUGGAGCCUCCGCCCCAGCCCCAACCCCAUCUAGCCCUGCUGCUCCAUCCACCCUUCCUGCCCCAUCCGGCCCUGCUGCUCCACCAAGCCCUACUGCCCCAUCCCAGCCGGCAUUUCAGAAUGUCCACAGCCUUUUGAGGACAUGCUCAGGGCAUCGGAGCAAAAGGUGAAGUGCACAGCUAGGCAUAGGUUUCUUCAAGACAGGUUUAUAUUUUUAGUGGUAGUGUGGUAGUAACAGUGCUGAGACCAUCUGUGAUGGGAUCUGGGAAAACCAGUCACAUGGUGAAAUUUGACCUUUUGGAAGCUGACUUCAAGCUUGUUUCAAAUAUGUUUUCAUUAUUUGUCUGUUUCAAAUGUUAUGAUUGUCCAAAGUCAGCUGAUCAGUUAGAUUUCAUGGAAUAGAAUUUUGACAAAAACAACUUUAAAGAGAGGGGUUCUAAAUAGACUGGCUGGUUGAAUAAAGCACAUUUUAACACAUUCAAUUAAUGAAAAACAAGUAGAUAUGUUUAGGGAUGAUAGACAUGUUAUAGAAUAAUAAUUGAAUCAAAACCCAAUUUCACCAAAAUACUGAGUUUCGACCUACUAGUAUUUUCACUCUAAUCUCAAAAAUGUCCCUUUUCACCAUGUGACUGGUUUCCCCAGAGCCCAUCACAGUUUUGGGUUAUAGGAACAUCUGUUGGGAUGGCAGUAAAGACAGAAGGGCUAUGUACAGACAUUACAUGUGUACAAUACUGUACUGUAUGUAAAGAAGAUGAAAUCCUAAUAUUGUUACGAAUAAUAUUGUUGAAACAUUGAAACCUUCUUUGA